rnacentral:rRNA from 1 species
CCUACGGGUGGCAGCAGUGAGGAAUAUUGGUCAAUGGACGAGAGUCUGAACCAGCCAAGUAGCGUGAAGGAUGACUGCCCUAUGGGUUGUAAACUUCUUUUAUAUGGGAAUAAAAUGUUCCACGUGUGGGAUUUUGUAUGUACCAUAUGAAUAAGGAUCGGCUAACUCCGUGCCAGCAGCCGCGGUAAUACGGAGGAUCCGAGCGUUAUCCGGAUUUAUUGGGUUUAAAGGGAGCGUAGGUGGAUUGUUAAGUGAGUUGUGAAAGUUUGCGGGUCAACCGUAAAAUUGCAGUUGAAACUGGCAGUCUUGAGUACAGUAGAGGUGGGCGGAAUGCGUGGUGUAGCGGUGAAAUGCUGAGAUAUCACGAAGAACUCCGAUUGCGAAGGCAGUUCACUGGACUGCAACUGACACUGAGGCUCGAAAGUGUGGGUAUCAAACAGGAUUAGAUACCCGUGUAGUC